rnacentral:lncRNA from 1 species
UUGUAAUAGAGAAAAGUUAGCAAACGCUGUUAAAUGUGGAGUAUUAGGAAAAUAUUAAGUAAACGAUGUCACCUUCUGUUGAUGGUCAAUGGCUAUUUCCCAGAGCAGCAUUCUGCGUUUAGAUCUGAUUAUUUUUAUUUGUUCAGAAAUGAAAAUAAUGUUUUCACCCUUCUCCUUAGCAGUUUCACAAGCUGGCAUUUUUGUGGGCGGUUGUGUGAUGUCGCUAAGAGUGUCCGAGCCUUGGAAACGCAACGGCUACUGCUACUGCUGUUUCACCUCCAGGACGCCAGACACCAAGGUUUCUAUUCAUCAAUGUUCCUCAUACAGUAUAAAAACCAGCAGUGGUCCAAGGAGGAAGCUUGGGUGCUUAUUGAGAGUAAGUGACUAAUCUUCUUGGUUUAGAAAUGCAGUUCUUAAAAUAUUAGGUUUAUAGAUUGUUUUGAGAAACAGAUUAAAGGCAAGAAAUAGGGAACAUACAUCUCACAUAUACAUUGCAUGUUGCAUUCAGUUCCAGGGUUCCAAAAAUUUUAGGUCUAGGACAUCAUUACGGGAGAAUUUCCAUUAGGUGUACUUAAAGAACAUCAUGAUAAGCAAGAGGGAAGAAAUAGGAUUCUGACCUUGGGCAAUGAUAUAGUUCCUUUUACUAGUAACCAAUUAAUCCAACCGAUCAGAAUAACCUUUGCCCUUGCUUUUCAGUGGUUUUUAAAAAAGGAACAACACAAAAUGGCACUGUUAGGGGCUUUUUGGAACUGGACAUAGCAUCAAAUCGGCUCUAAAAACAAACAAAUAACUAUAAUAUAGUAUACAUCAAAUUCAAGUUUUAAAUGCUGUUCAAGCUAGAGAGGCAAAGGAGGAAAUGCUGAUUAUUUGGGGGAGAACCAGCGGAGGGGAGGCGGGGAGGGAAAUGAGAAGGGAAGGCCAGAUGUUCAAUUUUCAACAUCAAUGUUUCCGAAGCCAAGAAUAUAUUGCUGACCCAGCCAUGAUAAAAUGCGCAGGGAUUUCCAGCAAUCCACAGUCAGCUGACCUGUUUCAAGAAGAAAAACAACAAUUAUAAAAUAAUAAAGUUAGGCUGUAAAUAUAAUUUUCUUAUCCG